rnacentral:lncRNA from 1 species
UGAAGACAUGAACACAUUUCCAGUGAAUUAGCUAGAGCAUGCAACACAAACUUUAUGUUAGCUGUGGGAAGACCAAUGACACAUGGUAAAGUCUAUUAAUGAUAUUAAGUUAACAUACCAGAAGUUUUGCACUAAUUUGAAUCAGCAAAGCAAGUUUACAGGGGAUCAGCACCUGGCUCCUUGCAUCUGCAACAGUCUGAUCUGGCACUGGGAAAACAAGACAGGCUUUCCUGCAUCACAAAAUCAUGGCCUCAGAAACCCCAGUGUGGUGGAUUUGAUUAGUAUCCAGUCCUAUUCCCUUUACAAUUCAUGUGUGCUCUAGAGUGUUCAUAUGCCAGAGAAUGCUCUUUGGGAUUCAAUAAGUAAGGCAUAUUAUGAUGAAUAUGCCAAUUAUUUUUCUCCUUGGUGCUAUAUAAGUAUGUAAGUAUCAAUCACCUUAUCUUCCCUUUCUCUCUUCUCUCUCUAUUUAUCAUUCUUCUUGAUUUUCUCUUUCCUGGCUUUGUUCUGUCUGGCUCUUUACUAGUUAUCUCUUGGUUAUUUCCCCCCCUUUCUCUAUCUUCUUGCUUCCCUUUCUUUUUGAUGGCUCAACAAGAUCAUCUUUCCUAUAACUCACUCCACCCCUCCUCCUUGUUGAUCUCUUUCUGGAUGCUGAGCCCUGCAGACUGCUCAUCAGCUUUCCUUCACUCAGGAGCAGAGCAAGCUAUUUUCAUCAACCAUAGCAGAAUGGGUGAUAAACAAUAUUCCUCUUCCUGCUUGCAGAUUUGUAAUUCUGGCUGCUGUGUCACAAGAACGAAGGACUCAGAGCACCAGCUUUUUGAAUUCUGAAUCUUUCAAAAUCAUGAGUACAUCUUAUAUCUGGAAAUUCAAUCAUCUUUGUAUUACUUGAUGAUAUCCUGUAAGAAGUAAAUAAUAAUCUGGGAGUAUAUUCAGUACUUUGUGCUUUUGUUUUUCUUAUGGAACAUGCAAAAUUUCAGUUUUGAUCUCAUUCAGCUGAUGCCUUUACCCAUGCAAAACAAAAGGUGGUCCCUGCCCAUAGGAGUAUAUGGUCUCAACCACAGUUUGCAGAGACAUAGGGCAACACAUAAGUGGUGCCAGAUGGAACAAUGGAGAGAAAAACAGACGCUCUAAAAAUAUACAUCCACUUUAGAGUAAAGUAGACCAAGCCUCCAAAGCAUCUCUUUCUCUGGAGAGAUUGCAAAAGGAAUAUUAAGAUUUCAGAUCCAGACAUCCACUUUACAGGUGUCUAAAAUUAAAGGAAUUGAAUCUCAAAGAGUCAGAAUAGCUAUUUACUGCCAAUUUUCUUAGGGAAUCACAAGCUUGAGACUGUAUAUAAAAGGACAAGAAAAGAACUGGUUUUGUGCAAAUUUAUAUGGAGAUGAUCUCAGUCAUGAGAUCAUGCUGCCUGGCAGAAAGAACCAAUGUGAGUUUUUGAGAUUUUACCACAUGGCUAAUGGAAACUGAUAUUGUGGAUGGAUCAAAAACAAGAGGUGAGAAAUGACAGAUCUUCCUUACCAGGUAAAGUCAGCCCUGAAUGUGUAGAGAUUUUAGAAAAGUUGUUACAAAUAUAUUGGGUGAUGUCAAAUGAAAGCCACCAAGUUUUGAUGCAGAAAAUCUAGACAUUUGGAAUUAUACAGUACUUUUCACAAAAGUAGUGCUUGCCUCUAGUGAAAAAAUACAAAAAAAAAAAAAGGCACUCUUUCUAUAUGAACAAGAAUUUUUUUCACGAGAAAUACAAAAAUCAGUAAUGUCUUGCUGCUUACUUCUCUGUUCUCUUUCAUAACCAAAUUUUUCUAUUUUCUUCACUACAGACAUUUUUCCAAGGUCU